rnacentral:rRNA from 1 species
CAGCAGCCGCGGGAAUACGAAGGGUGCAAGCGUUAAUCGGAAUUACUGGGCGUAAAGCGUGCGUAGGCGGUGAGUUAAGUCUGCUGUGAAAUCCCCGGGCUCAACCUGGGAAUGGCAGUGGAUACUGGCUCGCUAGAGUGUGUCAGAGGAUGGUGGAAUUCCCGGUGUAGCGGUGAAAUGCGUAGAGAUCGGGAGGAACAUCAGUGGCGAAGGCGGCCAUCUGGGACAACACUGACGCUGAGGCACGAAAGCGUGGGGAGCAAACAGGAUUAGAUACCCCAGUAGUCCCUGUCUCUUAUAC